AUCAAUAAUGAUACAGAUCGCUUUAGGAUAAAAUAUACAUGAAGACUUUAAAAAAAAUAUAUUGUUUGCUCUACUUUCAAAUCAAAUCUGAUAUGCUCUUGAAAAAGCAAAGACAAUGUUAGAGAGAAGCACAACGUGGAUUUGCCAGAAGGGGAAAAACCAGGUGUGGAAAUGUCUGUGCCAUUCUUCAUCACUUGCACAAAGCCCUGCUCCUGUUCUUCAGCAGGACUCAACCCUGGAAGUGUUAUCAGUGUGGAAUACACUUCAAAAAGAGCAGGACUGUGUGAAAUUUUACUAUCAGUGCUGCUUCCUGGAAACCCCUGUUUUCUAAUUGUUUUCCACACACACACACACAAAAUCCCGAAGAGAAAAGAAGAGAAGAGAAGAGAAGAGAAGAGAAGAGAAGAGAAGA